GGGUUGAGGCUCAAAAUUUAUUGUUUGGGGCCAGAACCAGCGAUGGAGCAUGAAAUUUAAUUCGAUGCAACGCGAAGAUCCUUACCAGGUCUUGACAUCUAGUGCAAUCCGUAGAGAUACGGAGUUCCCUUCGGGGACACUAAGACAGGUGGUGCAUGGCUGUGGUCAGCUCGUGUCGUGAGAUGUUGUAAUAAGUCCCGCAGCGAGCGCACACCUUGUCAUUAGUUGCCAGCAUUAAGUUGGGCACUCUAAUGAGACUGCCGGUGACAAACCGGAGGAAGGUGGGGAUGACGUCAAGUCAUCAUGCCCCUUAUGACCUGGGCUACACACGUGCUACAAUGGACAGUACAACGAGGAGCAAGCCUGCGAAGGCAAGCGAAUCUCUUAAAGCUGUUCUCAGUUCGGACUGCAGUCUGCAACUCGACUGCACGAAGCUGGAAUCGCUAGUAAUCGCGGAUCAGCACGCCGCGGUGAAUACGUUCCCGGGCCUUGUAUACACCGCCCGUCACACCAUGGGAGUCUGCAAUGCCCAAAGCCCUUAGAGUUUAUGUCGGUCACGCCCCGCGCCGCCGCCAUUGGUAGCCAGACC
rnacentral:rRNA from 1 species